ACUGGAGGACGCGCGGCACAAGCUGCAGCACCACCUGCACAAGAUGCUGCGGGAAAUCACAGAUCAGGAACACAACGUGGUGGCACUGAAGGAGGCCAUCAAGGACAAGGAGGAACCUCUGCACAUAGCCCAGACCCGGCUGUAGUUGCUCUCACACCGGCCCAACAUGCAGCUGUGCCGCGAUGCAGCCCAGUUCAGGUGCUGAGAGGGGAGGGAGACUCUGCGGCCACACACAACAUGCAAGCACGCCUUAAACACACAGAUAUAGACAUGACACUGGGCAGGUCAUGGGUCGGGGGCCUCCCCGUGCCAGGGACCUGUGCCCACGUGGUCUCACCCCACCCUGUGCUACCUCAUCUUCCCGGGAGGAAGCUCCUUCAGACAAGGUGAGCUCCUGGAGGCCACGGGGCCAGAGAGGCCAGAGAGGGCCAUUCCCUGCUGCCCUGAGGGUGCUG
rnacentral:lncRNA from 1 species